rnacentral:lncRNA from 1 species
CACCGAUAACUCUAUCUUAAAUAAAAGUUGCAUAUCUACAUAACUCCCCUCUUGGCGCUAGCUUAUAUCGACAGGGCAAUCAAAACAAACUAUAUCGGAAGCAGGAGGGGAACUUCGUCUCGACAAAGUCGAAGGCCCGGUUCUCUUUAGACCGGAUGGGGGGAGAGGCCUUACAACGCCCAUAUGCACCCCCACAGCCCUGUUAGGGACAGGAGGAGAACCUCAUCCUAACUUGAGCAAAGUCGAAGGCCCGGUUC